AUACAGUCAAAUACAAUUAGGAAAUACAUUUUAUAAUUAUGUCUCUUUAUUUUCAGACUUGCCAGAGACUUUUAGUGAGUCUCCAAGACAGAGUAUGUACAAGACAGAGUUUAGCUCUUGCUGCCCAGGAUGGAGUGCAAUGGCAUGAUCUCAGCUCACUUCAACCUCCGCCUCCCGGCUUCAAGUGAUUCUCCUGCCUCAGCCUCCCAAGAAGCUGGGAUUACAGGCAUGCAACACCAAGCCUGGCUAAUUUUGUAUUUUUAGUAGAGACGGGAUUUCUCCAUGUUGAUUAGGCUGGUCUCAAACUCCUGACCGCAGGUGCUCCACCUGCCUCAGCUUCCCAAUGUGCUGGGAUUACAGGUGUGAGCCACCACACCCGACUGCAUAUUUCUUUUCAUCUGGAAAUAUUUCUUGUCACUUCUUUUUCUCAUUUUCUUAAAAUUCUCUCUUCUUUAACACAAGCAAUGCUCCACUGAAGUUUCCCCGAAGCAGAAAAAAAGGACUAGGGAUCCUGAUUUAUUGAACCAAAUGGCAAAGUCUUCUGAAUUUCUUCAAAUGGCAAAGUCUUCUGAAUUUCUUUAAAGCUAUAUCACUGAACCAUAGAUGAAGGAUCUGAGACUUGUGAAGAAAGAAGAAAAGACACAACAUCACAAGAAUUGUUUCUAAGAAAGACACUGUGGUCAUGAAUAGGGAGGAAUAUGCUGGAAAUAAUUACUAACAUUUAGAAGACUAUUUCUAUAAGCAAAAUAGUAUUUUCAGCACUGCGAUGUUCAAUACUUCAAUAUUCUAAGAGGUCUAGCAUUAAAAAUAAGGUAUUCAGCCACAGUGGAGCUAAGGGCUCUGCUCCAGUUGACAUAGCUGGUAAGGGACAGAAAACAAUUCAAAUCCAUAAAUUCAGGCUCCAGAAUGUGCGAUCUUAAGAUUUACACUGCGCAAAUUGUAAAUGCUAAAUGACAAGAUUUUUGUAUGUUGGAUACCCUUUAUAAAUCAAGUAUUUAUUAUUUCUUUAAAGAUUGUAUCAGGUGUUUAAAAUAAUUUUCCAGGCCAAACAUUUAAGUCACACAGUCUCUUGUUACUUGCAUUCAAGGCUAUAUCUGGAGGUAUCAGUCCUAUCAAUAGCUCAUUUUCAAAAUGACUCCAUCAUUUUAAAUAUCAUUUUUAUUUCAUAUGGUUGAUUUGUCAAUGUAUCUAUGUAUGAAUAUAUUUAUGACAUGCCUGAUUCUUAGAAGUCUAACUAUAGCCAAGGUUUAACUAAAUAAAUACAGAAGAGAAAAUUAAAAUAAAUAUUUAAUUAUAAAAUAAUUUUCUAUAUUAAUGGAUAAUACAUAUGCCAUAAUAUCCUGUCUGCUUGUCAGAAAAGAGUGUGCAGAUCAUGUUCUGUAUCAGGUCAUUCUUUUCUAGUUAUGA
rnacentral:lncRNA from 1 species